CUGGACUGUUGGACUGGUCUGAUUUUUACAUUUUCUCUAUUCUUGACUUGCACGUCACCCGCCAUGUCAGAUGGCAUGGCACAAAAGAAUAUUUUAUCACAGAAUAGGUAUACCAUGUCAUGUCUAUUUUGUGAUUUUAUCGAUCGGAACAUUGUCUGGUGUGUACCAGGAGGAGAUUGGUUGCAAGUCAAGAAUAUAACGUUUUGCACCUGAAUUACUUUUGAUUUUCGGAAAUUGAAAUAUUUUACCUUCGCCGAUGACCUCACUUUAUAACUGGAGUGAAAUCUCAGUAAGAAACCCCAGUAAGUAGAAGAGAAUACAAUACCAGACAUAAACUACUUAUCUGUCUUUGCUAUGGGUAGCCUGCUCGCAUACGUAUUAAAUUUCGAUAUUUCAGUCUGCAUGGCCAUGGGCGUAGGAAGAUCGGUAUUUUUGGGGGGCUCAUAUUCAUAUAUUCAUAAAGCAAUCAAUUUCAAAAGAAGUAAAUGAUGCAGAACACGAAUAUAUGAAUAUGAGCCCCCAAAAUAUCGAUCUUCCUACGCCCAUGGCCAUGCAGACUGAACUAUCGAAAUUUAAUACGUAUGCGAGCAGGCUACCCAUAGCAAAGACAGAUAGGUAGUUUAUGUUUGGUAUUGUAUUCUAUUCUAUUCUACCUACUGGGGUUUCUUUCGCUUUAAGAGAUUUCACUCCAGUUAUAAAGUGAGGUCACCGGCGAAGGUAAAGUAUUUCAAUUUCCGAAAAUCAAUUCCGAAAGUAAUUCAGGUGCAAAACGUUAUAUUAAUGACUUGCAACCAAUCUCCUCCUGG